ACACUGGUCCUUCGUGACAACCAACUGUGAACCCCGUCAGGCCCGGAAGGGAGCAGCGGCAGCAGCGACGUUGUGCACCGAAGUCCGCUGGUGUAGC
rnacentral:SRP_RNA from 1 species